rnacentral:ncRNA from 2 species
GAAUUCAUUGAAGAGUUGCUGUCUCCCCCUUUUGGGGGUUUAGUGGCAUUUGUGAAGGAGGCUGAGGCUUUGAUUGAGCGUGGACAGGCUGAGCGACUUCGAGGGGAAGAAGCCCGGGUAACUCAGCUGAUCCGUGGCUUUGGUAGUUCCUGGAAAUCAUCAGUGGAAUCUCUGAGUCAGGAUGUAAUGCGGAGUUUCACCAACUUCAGAAAUGGCACCAGUAUCAUUCAGGGAGCGCUGACCCAGCUGAUCCAGCUCUAUCAUCGCUUCCACCGGGUGCUGUCCCAGCCGCAGCUCCGAGCCCUCCCUGCCCGGGCUGAGCUCAUCAACAUUCACCACCUUAUGGUGGAGCUCAAGAAGCAUAAGCCCAACUUCUGAUGUGCCAGAAACCGCCCUGAGAUCUGCCGG